GAUGAACGCUGGCGGCGUGCCUAAUACAUGCAAGUCGAGCGAAUGGAUUAAGAGCUUGCUCUUAUGAAGUUAGCGGCGGACGGGUGAGUAACACGUGGGUAACCUGCCCAUAAGACUGGGAUAACUCCGGGAAACCGGGGCUAAUACCGGAUAACAUUUUGAACCGCAUGGUUCGAAAUUGAAAGGCGGCUUCGGCUGUCACUUAUGGAUGGACCCGCGUCGCAUUAGCUAGUUGGUGAGGUAACGGCUCACCAAGGCAACGAUGCGUAGCCGACCUGAGAGGGUGAUCGGCCACACUGGGACUGAGACACGGCCCAGACUCCUACGGGAGGCAGCAGUAGGGAAUCUUCCGCAAUGGACGAAAGUCUGACGGAGCAACGCCGCGUGAGUGAUGAAGGCUUUCGGGUCGUAAAACUCUGUUGUUAGGGAAGAACAAGUGCUAGUUGAAUAAGCUGGCACCUUGACGGUACCUAACCAGAAAGCCACGGCUAACUACGUG
rnacentral:rRNA from 1 species